GAGAGAGGAAGGACGAUUGCCGGGUAUUUGACCUGAGGAAAGUCUCCCCAUCAUCCAGAUACACGAACACCUGUGAAGGGUGUCGGGUGAGAACCCGGGCUCUGGCACAGAAACGAUACCACACCAUAUCAAUGCUAUGAUACCGAAAGGUUGAGGUCGUAUGGAACGUGGAUGGAACGGCGAAACCUCGUGGAUGCAAGUUGGAGUAGGGAUCAAGCAGGUUUCUGGACUGCCCCGAAUUUAUUAACGCAUAGCCGAAUAUCGUCAAUGCAAGUGUCCACAAGGACCAUUCCCAAAUCAGCCCUGCUGAUGGGAAGCUUUGCAUCAACAGAAGGGAGCUUACUCUCCUCACUC
rfam:Methanococcoides burtonii DSM 6242, complete genome.